GACGAACGCUGGCGGCGUGCUUAACACAUGCAAGUCGAACGAAGUGGCGAACGGGUGAGUAACGCGUAAUCAACCUGCCCUUCAGAGGGGGACAACAGUUGGAAACGACUGCUAAUACCGCAUACUGAAGGCGGGGAUUGCGUCGGAUUAGCUAGUUGGAGGGGUAACGGCCCACCAAGGCGAUGCUCAGUAGCCGGUCGGAGGGGAUGAACGGCAACAGUGGGACUGAGACACGGCCCAGACUCCUACGGGAGGCAGCAGUGGGGAAUCUUCCGAAAUGGACGAAAGUCUGACGGAGCAACGCCGCGUGAGUGAUGACGGCCGUCGGGUUGGAAAGCUCUGUUAAUCGGGACGCGGUACCGGAAUAGAAAGCCACGGCUAACUACGUGCCAGCCGCCGCGGUAAUUC
rnacentral:rRNA from 1 species